UACAGAGGUCCCAAGCGUUGUUCGGAUUCACUGGGCGUAAAGGGUGCGUAGGUGGCCGGGUAAGUCUGAUGUGAAAUCUCCGAGCUUAACUCGGAAAUGGCAUUGGAUACUAUUCGGCUCGAGGGUCGGAGGCGAGUGGAAUUCCCGGUGUAGCGGUGAAAUGCGCAGAUAUCGGGAGGAACACCAAUGGCGAAGGCAGCUCGCUGGGACGGUACUGACGCUGAGACGCGAAAGCGUGGGGAGCAAACAGG
rnacentral:rRNA from 1 species